GACGAACGCUGGCGGCGUGCUUAACACAUGCAAGUCGAACGGAAAGGCCCCUUCGGGGGUACUCGAGUGGCGAACAGGUGAGUAACACGUGAGUAACCUGCCCUUGACUUCGGGAUAACUUCAGGAAACUGGGGCUAAUACCGGAUAGGAAUCCUUGCUGCAUGGUGGGGGUUGGAAAGCUUCGGCGGUUUUGGAUGGACUCGCGGCUUAUCAGCUUGUUGGUGGGGUAGUGGCUUACCAAGGCUUUGACGGGUAGCCGGCCUGAGAGGGCGACCGGCCACAUUGGGACUGAGAUACGGCCCAGACUCCUACGGGAGGCAGCAGUGGGGAAUAUUGCACAAUGGGCGGAAGCCUGAUGCAGCAACGCCGCGUGCGGGAUGACGGCCUUCGGGUUGUAAACCGCUUUCAGCAGGGGCGAAGCUUGUGGUGACGGUACCUGCAGAAGAAGCACCGGCUAACUACG
rnacentral:rRNA from 1 species